UUAUGAGUAAAAUCAUUUAUUAUACACUUACUGUAGCAAAAUUCUAAAACUGACUUAUAGAGACAAUAACACAAACAAUAUCAUAAAUCUCAUAUUCAAUUAACCAUAACAACAACUUUUCUUUUUUAUCUGCCUAUUGAUAUACACGGAGGUCCAUAUGGAUAUCUCCACUACACGUGAACCCUUAUUUAACAUUGUCAAUAAAUCAGUCGUCCCCAUACUCUGUCCGAUAUGAGCUUCAAAAAUAUCAUCCCUCAAUAUCCCGUCCAAUAUGAGAGUGAAAUGAGCCGUCUCUAUAUAUGAGCGCCAAAAUAUCAAUC
rnacentral:lncRNA from 1 species